UGCUCUACCAGCUGAGCUAUGAAGGCCGAUAUGUUGGGAGCAGGCCAAUUUGUUGAAUUCAUCAUACCCGUAAAAGGAAUGAUAUGAAUAUUACGUGAACUAAAUGGCUACACGACUCCAAAACACCCCCAUCAGGCUAAUAGGAGAUAAGAUGGAAGGGAAAGAAAAAAGAUAACAAAUAGACCUCUUUCAUAAUGUAGAUCAAACUGACUUUUCACUUGUUUCAAUGCUAAUAAGCCUUAUACUUACCUCACUGCCAUUUACAUACAUACAUAAAUUUAUUUGUUUAGGCGGGUCGAAAAAGGCAACCUUAAAAGCUGAUGUGGACCCGCCAAUGAAAAGUAUUACAAAAGAGCUUCAAAUAAUUUU